GAUACUGCCUCAGAUUGGGUAGAAUAGGAAAGCAACCACGGAACAUAGGACAAUUUUUCUCAUAUAAUUUUACGAAAGUCUUAUAUACAUGUAAUCCCUGUAUUUGUAAUGAUCUUUGUGUUUCAUUGUUCAGGGUCAGGAACAUGGCCUCUGGACAAACCACGUUCCACAGCUUGUUCAGUGGUUAACCAAUCCUGGUGUUCCUGUAGAGUUACAGACAUUGUCGCUUGGAUCUUUACAGUUAUUAAUACACGUAGAUGACAACUUGAUAUCACAAGAUGAUGCAGGUGGAGUUAGUCGGCAAAUGGCUAACUGGUUGAAAAAUGCCAGCACGGUGUCAGCACCUAAUCCUUACCAGAGACAGAUAUUCAGAGGAGGAAAGGCUAAGGGGUAUCAGCUGGUUACUGAAGUUGAUGGAACAUCAUCAAGAUAUUUUUUCACAGUGUUGAGUAUUGGUAAGCAGAGAAUUACUCUGACAUAAAAUAAAAGAGAAAAUCCCGACAUACAAUGAUGAAUGCUAGAGAGAAUUUACUUUUCUACAUGUACAUGUAUGUUUAUUUCUUGUGGGAGGUGUGAUGAAUAACAGUUAUUUUAUUCAACUUGAAGUCAUGUUAUCUGUGUUUUAGCCUUGUCCGGGGUCACUGUAUUGUGUUCUUGGGCAAGGCACUGUUUACUCUGACUCAUAAUAGCUCUGCUUGCCAGGGAGUACAAAGGGGUAAACUAUUAGGGAAAGCUAGCAAAUAAACUUCAGUUAUUCAGAAGCCCAUUGUGCAUGGAGGAUACCCACAGUACCUCUAGUCUGUUCGUGUUGCAGAAGGCUGGAUAAUGUACAGUGUUUUUGGCGUCUUUGGCCCAAUUGCAGAUGUUACCCUUGAUUGUUGCAACACAUAAUGUCAGACCAGUUGAGAACAGUACCGCUCAAAACUAAGUUACCACCUCUUGUCUCAUUUCUCUCCAGAUGAGAAUCAUGUUUCGUGAUGUGAGAAAUGCAUAUCAAGAGACCAGAGUCCAGUUAAUAACUGUUUUGCAUUU